rnacentral:rRNA from 1 species
UACGAAGGGAGCUAGCGUUGUUCGGAAUCACUGGGCGUAAAGCGCACGUAGGCGGAUUGCUAAGUCAGGGGUGAAAUCCUGGAGCUCAACUCCAGAACUGCCCUUGAUACUGGCCGGUCUCGAGUCCGGGAGAGGUGAGUGGAACUGCGAGUGUAGAGGUGAAAUUCGUAGAUAUUCGCAAGAACACCAGUGGCGAAGGCGGACUCACUGGCCCGGUACUGACGCUGACGGUGCGAAAGCGUGGGAGCAACAGGAU